CUCCGGUAAUGAUUGCUGUGACAAACGAAGUCAUAACUUUACCGGAACGCGAACUGGAGCUACGGUUACCGUAACUCUAGCCACUGCGUUAAGGUAGAGUCGUUUCUACCUCACUAUAGUGGUCUUUGAUCUGCGAGUGCGCGAGCCGAGGAAGACAUUAACAUAACCUAAAACCUACAACAAAGUUUUUAAAUUACCGGUAGUGCGGAGGCACUGUAUUAUUUUUAAAAUUAGGGAGUUAAUUAAAACGUUUAGCAAAAUUACAUUGUCAAAGAAUGAACUUUAUGAUGACUGGGAAUAUAAUAUGAAAUGGUUCAUUGUUUUAAUCUAAGAAGCAAAGUAGAAAUACUUCCACUAUGACUGAAGUGAAGUCAGUAAUUUAUCACCUUUGUAAACUUUUUAAUGGACUCUUCAGUAGUGAGAUCAUUAAGCCAGAACACUUUCGUUACAGCAAAUUUGAUGAAACUUCUGAUGAAGUGCUGCAGAUAUUGUUAGCUGUGUGAAACUGGCGUUUGCUCGGAUGCGAUACAGUUGUCUUUCCUUGUUCAAUUUGCCAACCAACAUGAAGGUUGGUAGCCGAGAGCUACUUCUGGCCUUGGCUUGGUUACUGACCACUGAUCGGCUUCAACAGCUCAUUCAUGAGUUUGUGAGCAAGUCACUUCUUCAGCACGAGUAUCCAUCAUACUCUGCAGGAAUUGGGUGCAUUCGAAUCCAUCAACUUGAAAAGUGAAGAAGACAUUAUCAACUUCAUAAAUUGGGUUAGUGGCAGAGUCAAGACUAACAUGGCAUACAUCAGGAAUCUAUCAAGAGAAUUGAUCACUCAUACAUCAAGAGUCCACUGUGCUACACUAGGUGCAUUUGGAGUGGCUCAUUUGUCAGUACAAAAUGUUGUAUUACUGAAAAAGCACGCUUUUAUAACUGAGCACAUGCUGGAAGACUGUAGUCACACCAUCAUUGUAUUGCAGAACUAUCUGCUGUGGACGAAGAAACAGAAUUCUUUCUGGAACUGGAUGGAAAGUGUAAUGGAAGAAGAAGAGCGACAAAAGUGAAUCGAAUAGAAUAUGUUUUAUUAACGCAGACAUAAUAUCACAAUUUUACAUAUAGGACAAUUUAUAUUAUAAUAUAAUUAAAAUCAUGAUUUAGACAAUACAACAAAGUACAUGAGGCCUAAUCAUUAGUCUGUAAUAAUCAACUCAUAUUUAAAUCUCAUUCCUAUAACUUCCUGUCCAUAAACUAAUUGGAAGGCCCAUUCAAGAGGAAUGUUUUUGAAAUCUGUUUGAACUUCCUGUAAUUAAGUUUUCUCUCCUCAAUAGAAUCUUAAUCAUUGUUUUAAUUGUGGCAUUUGAAAGAUUUUGGUCAUCUUUAUACAGAUUAACUAGAUCUAGAAGAAUGUGCUGUAUUAGGCCCAAUCCAUAUAUUUUGUAAAAAUCAACAUGUUUGUUGACGUGUUAUCUAGAUUUAAAUUCUGAACAAGUUUUCUAUUCUGAUCAGUGAUUAAUAAUUCUUAUCAAAAUUGUCAUAACAAUUAGUUUAAAUAAUGCCGAUCGAAUGUCUACUGAUUUUGAAUGUAUGAAGAUGUGGCAUUUGCAAGUUACUGUUAGGUGCAUUGGGCCUACUUCUAUCCACAUCACAAUGAAUAAAUUGUCUUUUGCUUUCUUUAAUAUUGUUCUUUUCAACACUUCACAUAAUGAAUGUUUACCCUGCCCGUCCAAAUGUAAUUAAUGUCGCAUAUGUAUAAGGCCUUUCUCUAAUUGCUCAUUUCAACUUAUUAAUCACUAAAUUAGCAUGUGAAUUAGAAAAUAAGUCAUACCUUUAGGGAAUAGCAGAUGCAAUUUUCUAUUAAUUUGUAGAUCGCUGCACGAUUAUUACUAAUCACUCUACGAAUUUCUGGAUGGGGAACGAUCGACACCACUCGAGAGUUGUUGAUUAUUGACUGGUACAACUUAUCGCUAUGCACUCCCGGAUCUAUGUAUGCGUUAUAUCUAAACUUUUAAUAAAAUAAAAUAUUUAAAAAAACUCCUGAA
rnacentral:misc_RNA from 1 species